CCACGCUCAUAUAGUUUCUAACAAUUCUUCCACAUAGCUCUUAACAUUCUUCUGUUCCAUGCUCUGCACUCACAUAGUCUCUAAUGAUUCUUCCGUGUAGCUCCUUACAUUCUCCCACUCUGUGUUCCACACUCACAUAGUCUCUAACAAUUCUUCUGCAUAGCUCCUUACAUUCUCCCACUCUGUGUUCCACACUCACAUAGUCUCUAACAAUUCUUCCACAUAGCUCUCAACAAUUUCUCCACCCCACAUUCUGCACUUGUGUAGCUUCUAACAAUUCUUAUGUGUAUCUCUUAAUAUUCUUCCACUCCACACUUCACUGUGGAGUGGCUUCUGAUAUUCUUCUGCUCUGAACUUUCCUCUAUAAGAACCCUCUUCAUACAAUCUUUUCUUCUGAUUUCUUUUCUCUUUCUUUCCUUAAUCAAUUCAUAAUCUG
rnacentral:sRNA from 1 species